CCUGAUCUAUGAUGAGUUGAAAUCAAGAGGACUGUUGGAUGAAACUUGGCGGAUAUGGGACUGAGAUCAGCU